AAGAACAAGGUUGCUUAGAGACA
rnacentral:snRNA from 1 species